CCAGUUGACAUACUUAAAACUUGAUUGCUUGCUAAAGCUCACAUGUUUUUGCUUGGGAAGUCAUUCUUUCGAGUUCCCAUCUUUGAAAGAAGUAAUUGUGAGGUAAUGCCCUAAGGUGAAGGCUUUUUUGUCAUGGACCCUUAUGGACACCAGAGCUAGAAAGAGUACAAUCAACAAAAGAAGAUGAAUGGCAUUGGAAGGCUGCCCUGAAUACCAAUACAAUGGCUUUAAAAGGGCAAAUUAUAAUACCAACACACAAUAGUUUUGUUGAGAAAGGUAUGUUGAUUUCUAUUACACAAGGUUUGGAACUUUAAAGGUGGAGAUCAUCCUUAAAAUGCAGCAGCGGGAAUGUGGCUUGUAAUUAUAGUUGGUAGUAUUGAGGAUCGUGUUUCUUUCUCCUGAAAUCAUUUGGCGCGUCAUUCCUAUGGUUAUUGAAAUGAAUAGAGUUCAUCCAUUUGUCGUUUGUUAUGUUUGUGUUUCUUUGUUUCUUGUUUUGCUAUGUUUGGUAGAAAAAAAAAGGAAGUACCUGUAGUACAUUGCACUUGUAUGAUGCAUUCCUCCUUGGAGUUUUAUAAACUACCUCUUCUUGGUGCAAAAAGACCAUAUUUGCAUGAA